GGGUUGUGAGGUUAAGCGACUAAGCGUACACGGUGGAUGCCCUGGCAGUCAGAGGCGAUGAAGGACGUGCUAAUCUGCGAUAAGCGUCGGUAAGGUGAUAUGAACCGUUAUAACCGGCGAUUUCCGAAUGGGGAAACCCAGUGUGUUUCGAUACACUAUCAUUAACUGAAUCCAUAGGUUAAUGAGGCGAACCGGGGGAACUGAAACAUCUAAGUACCCCGAGGAAAAGAAAUCAACCGAGAUUCCCCCAGUAGCGGCGAGCGAACGGGGAGCAGCCCAGAGCCUGAAUCAGUGUGUGUGUUAGUGGAAGCGUCUGGAAAGGCGCGCGAUACAGGGUGACAGCCCCGUACACAAAAAUGCACAUGCUGUGAGCUCGAUGAGUAGGGCGGGACACGUGGUAUCCUGUCUGAAUAUGGGGGGACCAUCCUCCAAGGCUAAAUACUCCUGACUGACCGAUAGUGAACCAGUACCGUGAGGGAAAGGCGAAAAGAACCCCGGCGAGGGGAGUGAAAAAGAACCUGAAACCGUGUACGUACAAGCAGUGGGAGCACGCUUAGGCGUGUGACUGCGUACCUUUUGUAUAAUGGGUCAGCGACUUAUAUUCUGUAGCAAGGUUAACCGAAUAGGGGAGCCGAAGGGAAACCGAGUCUUAACUGGGCGUUAAGUUGCAGGGUAUAGACCCGAAACCCGGUGAUCUAGCCAUGGGCAGGUUGAAGGUUGGGUAACACUAACUGGAGGACCGAACCGACUAAUGUUGAAAAAUUAGCGGAUGACUUGUGGCUGGGGGUGAAAGGCCAAUCAAACCGGGAGAUAGCUGGUUCUCCCCGAAAGCUAUUUAGGUAGCGCCUCGUGAAUUCAUCUCCGGGGGUAGAGCACUGUUUCGGCAAGGGGGUCAUCCCGACUUACCAACCCGAUGCAAACUGCGAAUACCGGAGAAUGUUAUCACGGGAGACACACGGCGGGUGCUAACGUCCGUCGUGAAGAGGGAAACAACCCAGACCGCCAGCUAAGGUCCCAAAGUCAUGGUUAAGUGGGAAACGAUGUGGGAAGGCCCAGACAGCCAGGAUGUUGGCUUAGAAGCAGCCAUCAUUUAAAGAAAGCGUAAUAGCUCACUGGUCGAGUCGGCCUGCGCGGAAGAUGUAACGGGGCUAAACCAUGCACCGAAGCUGCGGCAGCGACACUAUGUGUUGUUGGGUAGGGGAGCGUUCUGUAAGCCUGUGAAGGUGUGCUGUGAGGCAUGCUGGAGGUAUCAGAAGUGCGAAUGCUGACAUAAGUAACGAUAAAGCGGGUGAAAAGCCCGCUCGCCGGAAGACCAAGGGUUCCUGUCCAACGUUAAUCGGGGCAGGGUGAGUCGACCCCUAAGGCGAGGCCGAAAGGCGUAGUCGAUGGGAAACAGGUUAAUAUUCCUGUACUUGGUGUUACUGCGAAGGGGGGACGGAGAAGGCUAUGUUGGCCGGGCGACGGUUGUCCCGGUUUAAGCGUGUAGGCUGGUUUUCCAGGCAAAUCCGGAAAAUCAAGGCUGAGGCGUGAUGACGAGGCACUACGGUGCUGAAGCAACAAAUGCCCUGCUUCCAGGAAAAGCCUCUAAGCAUCAGGUAACAUCAAAUCGUACCCCAAACCGACACAGGUGGUCAGGUAGAGAAUACCAAGGCGCUUGAGAGAACUCGGGUGAAGGAACUAGGCAAAAUGGUGCCGUAACUUCGGGAGAAGGCACGCUGAUAUGUAGGUGAAGUCCCUCGCGGAUGGAGCUGAAAUCAGUCGAAGAUACCAGCUGGCUGCAACUGUUUAUUAAAAACACAGCACUGUGCAAACACGAAAGUGGACGUAUACGGUGUGACGCCUGCCCGGUGCCGGAAGGUUAAUUGAUGGGGUUAGCCGCAAGGCGAAGCUCUUGAUCGAAGCCCCGGUAAACGGCGGCCGUAACUAUAACGGUCCUAAGGUAGCGAAAUUCCUUGUCGGGUAAGUUCCGACCUGCACGAAUGGCGUAAUGAUGGCCAGGCUGUCUCCACCCGAGACUCAGUGAAAUUGAACUCGCUGUGAAGAUGCAGUGUACCCGCGGCAAGACGGAAAGACCCCGUGAACCUUUACUAUAGCUUGACACUGAACAUUGAGCCUUGAUGUGUAGGAUAGGUGGGAGGCUUUGAAGUGUGGACGCCAGUCUGCAUGGAGCCGACCUUGAAAUACCACCCUUUAAUGUUUGAUGUUCUAACGUUGACCCGUAAUCCGGGUUGCGGACAGUGUCUGGUGGGUAGUUUGACUGGGGCGGUCUCCUCCUAAAGAGUAACGGAGGAGCACGAAGGUUGGCUAAUCCUGGUCGGACAUCAGGAGGUUAGUGCAAUGGCAUAAGCCAGCUUGACUGCGAGCGUGACGGCGCGAGCAGGUGCGAAAGCAGGUCAUAGUGAUCCGGUGGUUCUGAAUGGAAGGGCCAUCGCUCAACGGAUAAAAGGUACUCCGGGGAUAACAGGCUGAUACCGCCCAAGAGUUCAUAUCGACGGCGGUGUUUGGCACCUCGAUGUCGGCUCAUCACAUCCUGGGGCUGAAGUAGGUCCCAAGGGUAUGGCUGUUCGCCAUUUAAAGUGGUACGCGAGCUGGGUUUAGAACGUCGUGAGACAGUUCGGUCCCUAUCUGCCGUGGGCGCUGGAGAACUGAGGGGGGCUGCUCCUAGUACGAGAGGACCGGAGUGGACGCAUCACUGGUGUUCGGGUUGUCAUGCCAAUGGCACUGCCCGGUAGCUAAAUGCGGAAGAGAUAAGUGCUGAAAGCAUCUAAGCACGAAACUUGCCCCGAGAUGAGUUCUCCCUGACUCCUUGAGAGUCCUGAAGGAACGUUGAAGACGACGACGUUGAUAGGCCGGGUGUGUAAGCGCAGCGAUGCGUUGAGCUAACCGGUACUAAUGAACCGUGAGGCUUAACCUUACAACGCCGAAGGUGUUU
rnacentral:rRNA from 1 species